GUUUCUCUUUUGAGUUGCUAUAAAGUACAGACGAUUCUACCAACCUUGACACAAACGCCCAGCUGCCCCCAGUUCAGUGCCACAGAGAAAAGCCUUGCAGAACAGGUUGAGUUUGUGGAUGGGCAUGGGGUAGAAGGUAUCAUCUCUUCUCUAUCAAUGACUUGGGUGAUACUUCUGGCAACAAAACAGACAGUUCUCGGCCUCUGUGUUUUCAUUGUCCAACUGAAGAUUAGACAAGAGGCAGCAUGGGGUGGUGGAUAAAUCGUGGACCAGGAUUGAAGCGAAGAUCUGCUCAUCUGGGACACUCACCAGACGGAGUCUUGCUCUGUCGCCCAGGCUGGAGUACAGAAGUACAGUGGCGCGAUCUGCAACCUCCGUUUCCUGGGUUCAAGCAAUUCCCCUGUCUCAGCCUCCCGAGUAGCUGGGACUACAGACCCAUGCCAUCAUACCCAGAUAAUUUUUGUAUUUUUAGUAGAGACAAGGUUUCACCAUAUCAGUCAGGCUGGUCUCGAACUCCUGACCUCAGGUGAUCCCCCUGCCUUGGCCUCCCAAAGUGCUGGGAUGACAGGCGUAAGCCACCUCGCCUGGCCAGUUUAUCAAUUUCGUUAAGCUUUCCAAAUAAUCAAAUGUGUUGGUCCUGUUGAUUUUUCUCUUUCAUAUGUUCGCUUUCUAUUUUAUUAAUAUCUAUGUUUUUCUGUAUUCUUUCCAUUUAUUUACCUUCUUUUUGUAAUUAUCUGAGAUGAAUAAAUCUUGGCUUGGUAAUUAUAUAUAGAAUUACUAAGCUGAGAUUCAGAGAAGAGGGAUGAACCUGGAACUUGGAGCCACUUUUGCCCAGGAGAUAAUUUAUAUAUACAUGUAUAUAUAUUCAGUGUAUGUACACAUAAAUGAGGGCGGUUGGCUCUAAGCAACAAACACUCACCUCUGCAUAACUUAAGCACAAAAUAGCCACUCACAGAAUGGAAGGAAGGGCUGAAGAACCAGGUUUCAAAGAGAAUAGGUGCGAGGGCAGGCCAGGGAUCUGGGAAGCAGAAACUACUAUUUUUUUAUUGCUCUGUUCAAAAGUCAAAUUCCAAGAAGUGAGCAUCUGAUCUGUGUCAAGUGCCCACCUCUUGGCUAGGAGCAGGUAGGGCAGACUGCAUGCAGUGAGAAAGACUGGUUCCUCUGAAGCAAAUUCAGAGGCUAUUUAUCAGAAGAUUUGGGAAUGAAUAAUGGGCAGACAAAAAUAACAAAUGUUCACUGUAGAGAGAGAAAAAGAAAUACAGCAGGAGAGACACAGGAGCAAGGAAGCAGAAGAGAAAGAAAGAAAAGUGGAGAGAAAUUGGUAAAAUGAGGUGGGGUGGUUUGGAUGUGUGAGCCAUCCGAAAUGAGAGAAUGUGCCAACCAUCAAGAAAAAUCAUUGAAGCUCUUCCCCUAUCCAGGGACACAUAUGACUUUUGUCAGUCUUCAUGGGCCCCUUCCUCCAUUAAAAAUACUAAAAAUUGGCUGGGCGCAGUGGCUCAUGCCUGUAAUCCCUGCACUUUGGGAGGCCGAGGCGGGUGGAUCACGAGGUCAGGAGGUUGAGACCAUCCUGGCUAACAUGGUGAAGCCCCGUCUCUACUAAAAAUACAAAAAAUUAGCCGGAUGUGGUGGCAGGCGCCUGUAGCCCCAGCUACCUGGGAGGCUGAGGCAGGAGAAUGGCAUGAACCCGGGAGGCGGAGCUGCAGUGAGCCGAGAUCGCACCACUGCACUCCAGCCUGGGCGACGGAGCAAGACUCCGUCUCAAAAAAAAGAAAAAUUAAAAAUCAUAUUUUAUGACGGUAUUGGUAUAAAGACAAAUGUAAUUCAGACUGGAUUUAUUGUUAUGUAUCAUGAUUAUUAUAUUCAUGUUUUUCUUCUGAUCUUAAAAGGAAUCAAAAUUAAGACAUUUUUAUGAACCCCUAAAAGUAUCGUGGGCCCUAGAUGCUCUGCCUACUCCUUCUUCUCUUCUGUAAGAUGCAGCUUGCAUUGGCAUUUGCUGCCGUCUCCAUGCACGUCAGUCCAUCUUCCAGCUGCCAGCACCCAAAGCACUUUGCCCGAGAGCUCUCUCUGGCUGCUGGAGGCAGCUAUUUGACAUCCUUAUCCCACAGCUCUUAAACAAUAGGUAAUGGGAGAUGGUAUUUAAAUACCCCAAAUCCUUACCCCUCAGAGGCACAUGUUCUUCAUCAACUCCCAGAGGACCUAAGCAAGAUUAACCUCUAGUCCCCCAGUGUGGUAACUUGGUUAGUAUGAACUUCUGUUGGCUACUUUCCCUUUCCUGUUUCACUCCUCCACUGCCCUGCCAGUGGUUUCCGGGAUCUCCUCCCCUCAAAAAAACAUUCACACUCAAAUCCUUGUCUCAGUCUGCUGCUGGGAGAACUCAAACUGAGACACCACAGAGACAGUUCAGAUAUGAGUCCCUGUCCAAAUCUCAUGUUGAAUUGUAAUCCCCAGUAUUGGAGGUAGGGCCUGGUGCAGGUGAUUCAGUCAAAGGGGUGGAUGCAGGUGAUUAAGUCAAAGGGGUGGAUGCAGGUGAUUAAGUCAAAGGGGUGGAUGCAGGUGAUUAAGUCAAAGGGGUGGAUGCAGGUGAUUCAGUCAAAGGGGUGAAUUUCUCAUGAGUGGUUUAGCGCCAUCCCCUUGGUGCCAUCACUACUCGUGAUAGUGAGUGACUUCUUGCAAGAUCUGGCUAUUUAAAAGUGUGUGGCACCUCGCUCUCUCACUCUUGCUCCUGCUUUCACCAUGUGGCAUGCCUGCUCUGCCUUAGCCUUCUACCAUGAAGCUUCCUGAAACUUCUCUAGAAACCUAGCAGACAUUAGCACCAUGCUUCCUAUGAAGCCCGCAGAAGCAAUUAAACCUCUUUGUAAAUUACCCAGUCUCAGGUAUUUCUAUAUAGCAAUGCAAGAACAGCCUAACACAACUCCACUUCAGGUUAGCUUGCACUGGGGCAUGAGGAAACAAAGCUCUCUAAAAUAUCAGCCUUACAACCAAAUACAAAGGGCUAGUGACUUCACUCUGCAGAGAGGGGAAGGACAAAGAGUCUUCUACUAAUUAUUUUCUUACAGAGCUGUGACCUUGUUGGGAGGGGUAAUCUGGCCUUGAAUAUUUCCUUGGUUCACUGUUGUGAAAAUAUUAUUCCAGAAGUUUUUCUGGUCAUCGGACUUUCUUAGCCUGGCAUUUAUUCUUGUUUCAAUUUCAUAUGAAAACUUUAGUGUUGGCCAAAGAAUGCUGGACUAUUUAAUUCUAUCAAAGCCUGGUGAAAUCUUUCUUCCUGGUGUUUUGGCUGGCGGAGUUACUUAAUUUGUACAAACCAACAGCAACAGGGCAAAGCACUUUGACAAUAUAAAGGGUUAUGGAAGGAAUAAUUCACAUUAAUCAUCUGAGUUAUGCUUUCAUUUGCUUUAAUGUGGUGGAUUUGGCCAUGGGGGCAGUAGGUCUUAUGACUGCCCCUCAGAAUAAAAGUUUAAAGGAAUGUGUAUUUCUGGAAAAUCACUUUUCUGUAACACACCCAGAGUUCUUUUAAAGAUACUUUAGUUUGCAAAACUUCAAAUGAAGAGCCAUUAUUUACUUUAUAAUCCAAGGCAGAGCCAAUGGGAAACCCUGGGAGAGAAGAAGCUGGAGGAAUCAUACAUGUUUUCAUGGUGGAACUUUGCAACAAAUGUAAUUUAUUUUUUCUUUAAAAUAGUUCUUAUGGUUUUUCCCACAUUGUUACAUGGGCAAUUUUCAUCUCUGGUGUUCCUAAGGAGUCAGAUCACAAAACAGCAUAAUGCUUAACAACAUGAGCUUCAAACUCAGAAAGAUCUGGGUUUGAAUCCUACCACUUGUGUGUGACUUUGGACUGGUUACCUAACCUCUCUAUACCCCUGUAGACUGAAGAUAAUUAUUUUACCCUCCUCAUAUACACAUGAGGUUAGUGAGGGUAUAAAAAAUAAUGCACAACAGUACUUAGCAUGCACUGAAUGUAUUAUGUACUAACUAUUACUAUUUUUUGUUUCUUGAUCUUAGCCAAUGUUCCCUUAACCUGAAUCCCUCUAAUAACUUUUCUAGACACUCAUAACAUCCUCAGCAACUACCAAGCAGUUUCCACUCAAGGCCAGCGUGUCCUCUGCAUGGCUGAUCAUCUGGUGUAAGAUCUAGAGCUACAAAAUCCUGCCCACACCUUCGAGUCUCCUGGGAGCCUGAUCCCAAGCUUCUGUCCCCUUGUCCACCAUGUCAGACACUCUUUAGGAUUAGGUGACUAGGGUGGGACUUGGUCAAGUCUGGUGUUAUGAUCUCUAAAGGCCACUAAAAAGCUAACUGGCCACCUACAAGGGAUUUGAGGGCUUGCCUCAACCUUUUCGCCUUAGUGAAGGCAAGGUAAUUAGGUGACACAAUGAGCAGAGGCCUGGAGCACGGAGAGGCAAGAAAAGUAAACUUCAGUAGGGGAUACUGAGGGUACAUCAGAACCCCAAGACGUCCAAGGCAACCAGGGCACACAGGGAAAAGACGAGGGUAGGCCGUGGUCAGAGCUGUCCAGAUGAAGUCCAGAAGUGAGAUGGCCACCAGAGAUGAGUAUGAACUUUGACAUCCUCAACAGUCAACCCAGAUGACCCAGGAGCUCAAAGUAACAACCACAAAAAUAGUAACACAUUCUACUGGUCUUUUGCUUUAUCUCUGAUACGGUUUGGCUGUGUCCCCACCCAAAUCUUAUCUUGAACUGUAGCUCCCAUAAUUCCCAUGUGUCAUAGGAGGGACCUGGUGGGAGGUAAUUGAGUCAUGGAGCAGGUCUUUUCUGUGCUGUUCUCAUGAUAAUAAAUAAGUCUCACGAGAUCUGAUGGUUUUAAAAGGGCAGUUCCCCUGCACAUGCUCUUGCCUGCCACCAUGUAAGACAUUGGCUUUGCUCCUCAUUUGCCUUCCACCAUGACUGUGAGGCCUCCCCAGCCAUGUGGAACUGUGAGUCAAUCAAACUUCCUUUUUUUUUUUGAGAUGGAGUUUCGCUCCUGUUGCCCAGGCUGGAGUGCAAUGGCAAGAUCGCGGCUCACUGCAACCUCCGCCUCCCAGGUUCAAGCGAUUCUUCUGUCUCAGUCUCCCGAGUAGCUGGGAUUACAGGCAUGCACCACCAUGCCCAGCUAAUUUUGUAUUUUUAGUAGAGACAGAGUUUCUCCAUGUUGGUCAGGCUGGUCUCGAACUCCCGACCUCAGGUGAUCCGCCUGCCUCGGCCUCCCAAAGUGCUAGGAUUACAGGCGUGAGCCACCGCACCUGGCCAAACUUCUUUCCUUUGUAAGUUACCCAGUCUCAGGCAUGUCUUUAUUGACAGAGUGAGAACAAACUAAUAUAAUCUCCAUAUCUGGUAGAGUGCUAAGCAGUGGCUGCUUCAUGUAAUAGUCACCAACAUCCAUGUGUGUUUCUGGGGCAGAAGUGCCAAGGCAGAGCCCGCAGUCAGCAGUGGGAGAUCUGGGAAGAAGUCUCCACCUCAGCCCUUCCAUUCACAAGCUGAGCGACAAGGGCAAACCACACAGCCUCCUGAAUCUCAAUAGAUUCACUCUGCUGGGCAGUGGGGAGAGCCAAAUGAGGCAGGGCACAUGAGCUGCUCUGUAAACUUUACAGGGUCGUGCGAAUAAUAUGUGACUCAACUUACUGUGCUUAACCCAGGGUCUGGCACCUGUAGUAAGGUGUUAAUAUUGAAGUUUCCACAGACACAAUGAAACACAAUAGUGUGAAAUUCCAAAGCCAGAUCUCUCAUGCAAAAAUUAUAAGGAAAAUUGUGAGGAACUGGUUUCAUAACUUCUAAGUCCCCUCUUACCUACUCUGGGAAUACAAAAAGAGAGAGAGAGAAUGAGAGAAUUUUGAACAUGUGUGUGAGUAUGUCUGAUGUAUUCAUUUUUCAGAGAAAGCUGUGGUCAUGUCAUGAGGCUUCCCACUCCACCCAUGGGAAAGAGGGGCCCCAGGAGCUGAGGGGAGAUGCUGGAUCUCUAGGGGCUGUGGAAGAGCCCUCAACUGACUCCUGGAAGCGAGAAGCAUCUGUUAGGAUGAAGGGAACACCCAGUGAAGGGCCAACAGGAGACCUUCAAGGAGCCCCCAGAUGCUCCCUAAGAAAAAUGAUCAGCUCCAAACACCUGCCAUACCAAGAAAAAACAGAUCUAGUUCUAUUCACAAUCAAGCAGAUUUUUCCUGCUCCUACAUCUCCAUUCUCCCUCUGCAGCUACCCCUGACAGUCAGCAACUGUCCACCACGUUGGGCUCUGUACAGACUGAUGGUUCUGUAUUGUGAAUAUACUCUCCCCAGAGACACUGUUCAACUGCAGAAAUCUGCCCCUGUGCCUUUAGAAUUCACCAGCAUCCUGGGGUGAAAGAGAUCCAAGGGAAGUUUUACCUUUCUCUCUGCCUCUUGGCAGGCAACCUGGAACAAGUCUUGAUGCAUGAUCCCAAACCAGACUAGCUACAUAAUCUGUGGGGCCUAAGGUAAGAUGAAAAGGUAGGGACCCUUGUUUAGAAAUUAUUAAGAAUUUUAAGACAGCAAUAACAGAACAUUAAACCAAGAGUAGGGCCCUUCUAAGUGUGGAGUCCUAUGUAAACUGCACAGGUCAGGGGCCCACGAAGCUGGCCCUGACCCCAAAUUAUCUCUUCCAUUAGUAAGCACUUAUAGAGGAGUCCGGAAUGUGGCUGCCUUUGAGGGAGAUCUUCCUUAAACUGCACCCUUCACAGUGAAUUAAACAAGCAUCAGCCAGCAGUUCUCUUCUACCUCCUUCAAGCAGGAAACUAAGGCAAUGGGAGCUGACUAGUGGCCGUUGUAACAGGGGAAUUCUAUGAAUGCAAGAAAGUCUCAGCCCAGCAAUGUGGCCAUGGGUCCCAGAGGAAAAAAUUCCUUGGCAGGUAGUCUUCAUGUGAGAGCUCGGGACGGCUGGAACAUUUAUUUACCUGCAAUCAUGAGAACUGAAGAGUGACUCUCAGCUCACAAUAGCAUGGGCUGGUCCUGAGCUGUUCAGGAUUUUGUGGGCUGGGUGGUGUAAAUCCUGGCCAGAUUCUCCUGGGAGGCAGCCAUACCCCCCGUGGGCAGGAAAACCUCCUGAGAGACUAAACAGGGCAAGCUUUUAAAAAAACAAAAUAAUUAGUAGAAGGAAGAGUGAGCACUUUCAAGGGGUCCCCUUCGGGGUCCUCACGCCUUUAACCACCCCUCCCUUCUUGGCUCACUGGUGAGUGUCAGCCCAGCGGGGACACAAAGAGAUCCCAGCUACAUAUCAGCAGCUCGCAAAGCAGAAGAAAGGCUCUGGUGUCCGGGCUUACUCCUGUUCCUUCAUCGUCUUAGAAAUAGGGACUUGGAGGCAAACAGUCCCAUUACAAUGACGAAGACUACUCUCAACAUGAUGCACCCAAAUGAAUGCAUUUACCAGUUUGAUGUCUGCCUUUCUUCCUGGUUUAUGUUUCAAUGUAUUUGUUGAAUAAAUGAAUGAAUUUAAAAGGGAGAAGUGAAUGGAAAUUUUGUAGAGAUUUGUCAGGGCUCCUUAAAAGGCCUGGCUCUAUCUCCACUUGUCUUAGGUUGCAUUCCGUAGAAGCAGAUCCUGAUAAGAUGAUGAAGUGCACAUGUCUCUUGAGAAAAUGCUCUCAGGAGAAGGGGGGAAGGUAAGCCAGGUGCAGCAGAGGACUGAGCAAGGUUGGGGUCUCAGCUGGACACUUCUUGGACCUGUUCCCACGGGAGCUCUGGAGUAUGAACUGUACCACAGAAUUGUCUCACCUAGAGAUGCAGAACAGCAACCCAAGUCCCUUCUGGAAGCAGCCCUCUCCCUCCUGGCAGCUGACAGAAGUCUCUCUGGCCAGGCCGGCCUUUUGGCUGCUCUGCAUAUGGAAGUUCAAUUACUGUCAAUGGGAGGCCCAUCGGCAGGGUGAGGGCAGAAUACACAAUGGAGAUCGGUGUACCAGAUAGGCGCCUAGAUCAAAGAAGAACCCAGAGUUUGUGAAGUCCUUUCAUCCUCCCUGAUGAAAGGGAGAAGCUUACUGCUGUUUUCAUGGCUCUGCAUGCCCGGGGAAAGAGGAAGGCCACAGGAAGGUGACAGCUGAGGCAGGGUAUAACAGCAGGUCCCCAGGUCUGGCUCCUGGAGGAUGGGACACACAACGUGGGAACCGGCAAGUCACCAGAGUCAUCUCAGCCAAGAUCAACCAAUAGUCAAUUACCAGGAACGUGAGAGAAUUCUGAGACCAGGACUGCUCAGCCACCUCUGCCUAAAAUACCAACACACAGAACAGUAAAGUGAAUGGAUGUUUAUUAUCCUAAGCCACUAUAUUUUGAGAUUGUACCUCAUGCAGCACUAUUAUGACCAUAGGUGACUGAUAUAAAAAGUAAGGAAUUAUGAAUCAUAAGAAAAAGAUGAACCAAGGAAAGAAUCAGCUUUGAAGAGGUGGUAAACUAUGGGAGUUGGGUAUGCUUUUCUGCAAUGAUCUUGUCUUAUUUUCUUUUUUUUUAAAGGAAGGCCUACCUGAAUAAUUCUGUGCAGGAAGAUAAAAGCAAGAUUAGAGUGAGACCUAUUCAGGGAGGUGUCAUUUUGUGAGCAGUUCAUGACCAUACCCAAUAAUCAGGGUCUGUCUACAUAUCUGAAUUUUAAUCCUUACAUAUAUGGCCUUAGAUGAACUAAAAUAAUUAUAAGAAGUUGUGUCAUUGUAGACUUCUAUUAAUAAACAUAUACCUACAUAUAUACAUGUUUAUGCACAAGAAUCAGCCUGUAUAGGCAUAUUUACCUAGGCAUAUUCAUUGCAUAGUGCUCUCAUGGUUGUGACUUGGGUGGGUGUAGCAAAGUGACAGGCCAGGAUCUCACCACAUAGGAAGAACUUUGGUCUGGCCAAGACAGGGCCAGCUAGUGGCCUCCCUGCCAUUAGCUCUGUCUGCCACCCAAGACAGAAGAAGCCAACAGUCCAAAGGGACAUAGCAGCUUCAUUUUGGUUCUAGUUAGUGGUGCCAUAGAAGAGGAACAGGCAGAUAGGAUCUCAUCUAGGCCAUGAGACAAGCAAGAGUUCUCAAGAAGGGUAGACUCUUAGAAACAGGAGGCCAGUGAGACAUGGAUCUAAGAGGCAUAGCCAGGUAGAAGCAGCCCUAGUCAAUGGCUAGAAGUAUAAUAUCCCAAUAAAAGAGGCAUUCUUAGAAAGCUGGGCAGCAUCUCAGGACCAC
rnacentral:lncRNA from 1 species